UAAAACGCUCCAUUCAUCCCAAAUAAAACCUAAAUACUACAAUUACCUCCAAAUCAAAAUCUCCAUUCAUCUCUCUCAAACCUCGCAUGCAGUUCUCACUCUCGUUCACGCCCUCGUUUCCAUUGCUCAGUUCUCACUCUUGCUCUCUUAUAUCUUCGAUUAGGCAAUAUGCUAUGUACUUAGCCACUGUCAAAGAAUUUGUACAGACGGACCAGCCGGGUGGUAGUAGAACUGUUGUGGCUUGAACUUGUUUGGCUUAUUGAUUAGUGGGCUGGAGUUAAGGUGGUGUAGUUAGAUUUGACCUGCGAAGUUUAAUUACAUUGUGCUUGUAUAGCUUACAAGGAGCAAUAUGUUGCAGAGUCUCUCUCAGCAUGCUGAGGUCCUUGAGAUUCUUCUUCAAGGGCCAUGAGAUUAUUUGAUGGAAGAUUCCAGAUUACAAUAAUAUUUGAAAAUGAUGAAUGAAUUGAUCUUUCUUAUACUCAAUAUAUCCAUAAGUUGUGCUUUAAGAUUAUCAAGAUGUGUCAUCUUAAUAUUACAAUUUUUUAAAGGGUUCCUAUAUGUGGAAAAGAUUGUAUUCGAAACUACCUUGACAGUUGAGAUUCUUCUUCAGGGGCUAUGUGGUGUUCAAAGAGAACGAUUGAGGAUCCAUAAAAUAUGUUGCAAGAAAGGUCCAAAUCUCGUGCUUCUUCCCUCAGAAUUUGAUUAUCAGUGUUAGAACCCCACUCUUUCUUCUUAAUGCUGCUUAUGAUUCAUGGCAGAUAACUUUAUCAUAACUCAUAUAAUAUGAUCUAUGAUAGUAUUGAUCAUUAAAUUAUUUGUACUAAACAAUCACGUUUCCAAUUAUAAUCAGAUCCAAUCUAGUUUAGCUCCUCCAUCAACAGAUCCCUAUGGACAUUAGCAUGAUUGCAGAUUAAACCAUGCUAAAUGUACUAGGCCACAAAACCAAUUUUUGCAAGGAAUCACAUGCUGAAUUCUGUUAAAGAUUUCUCAAGAUCAAAACAGAAUGGACUGUUUAUCCAAACCGAGAGGCAUGAUACAUGGUUUUCAGAUAAUUCUCCAGUUGUUGGGAACAAGGUAAUUGCUUUAGCUGUUGGAGACUGGUUUUUGGACUGAGAAGGUGUUACAAUCAUUGAUUGUGAAGGUGUUACAGUCAUUGAUUGUCCUUAUCCUUGUGAUAAUACAUGUCACCAUAUGGUUUUCAGUUGAGCCAAAGUUCAUCCAUCAUCAUCAGUGGAGGAUUAGCUAUUUGAGAAUGUUGGGGAAAAUCCUCUUUGUUUCUUAACACUUAACAUCAUAUGUAUUAUUGAGCCAUAGGAGGGAUCCAACUCAUAUCUAUAGUUAAAGAUGUCUAUCCAAACAAUUAAGAAAAAAGGGGUAAGUUUAUUGAUGUAUUUAUGAGAAUAAUAUAAAUAUACGAGUCAUUUAUAUAGAAAUUUUAUAAUGAGAUAAUCUAGUACAAA